rnacentral:rRNA from 1 species
AGCAGCCGCGGUAAUUCCAGCUCCAAUAGCGUAUAUUAAAGUUGUUGCAGUUAAAAAGCUCGUAGUUGAAUUUCGGGAUCAGUAUGUCGGUCGUGCCUCCGGUAUGUACUGGCGUCACUGGUUCCUCCCUUCUGACGAACCAUCAUGCUAUUAAUUUAGUGUGGUGGGAAAUCAGGACUGUUACUUUGAAAAAUUAGAGUGUUUAAAGCAGGCUCACGCUUGAAUACAUUAGCAUGGAAUAAUGAAAUAGGACGUUGAUCCUAUUUUGUUGGUUUCUAGGAUUGACGUAAUGAUUAAUAGGAUAGUUGGGGCAUUAG